CCCAUGCUUUUUAUGGCAACCUCUUGACUUCAGGUUCUUUCUUACCCUACGCCUCAAUGUUUCCAGUACAGAGGAAGGUCUCCACCAGGAAGGGGUCUGGAACAAGCAUCCAGGCAGAAGAUCUGCUUAGAAGGCAUGUCCUUUCAUGACAUAAGCUGACAUGAGAAGUUGGUCUCUGUGCAAGGAGAAUCCAGGAGCAGAAACUCUUCGUGAUUGCAUAAGACACAACAUCUGUGCAGUCAGCUAUCCAGCCUGGAUCUGUACAGAUCACAGAAUUCGUCUCUGGAGCUGACCACCUAAGCAGCUAUGGGCAAAGCAGCAACAAUUGGAAGUACCCAGUGUCCUGAUGGACUUAGUAUAGAUUCGUUUCUUUGCCUGUCCCCUUCAUA